CACGGGGGGGGCAAGCGUUGUUCGGAAUUACUGGGCGUAAAGGGCUCGUAGGCGGCCAACUAAGUCCGACGUGAAAUCCCCAGGCUUAACCUGGGAACUGCGUCGGAUACUGGAUGGCUUGAAUUCGGGAGAGGGAUGCAGAAUUCCAGGUGUAGCGGUGAAAUGCGUAGAUAUCUGGAGGAACACCAAUGGCGAAGGCAGCUCGCUGGGACGUUACUGACGCUGAGACGCGAAAGCGUGGGGAGCAAACAGG
rnacentral:rRNA from 1 species